GUGCCAGCAGCCGCGGUAAUACGUAGGUGGCAAGCGUUGUCCGGAAUUAUUGGGCGUAAAGCGCGCGCAGGCGGUCCUUUAAGUCUGAUGUGAAAGCCCACGGCUCAACCGUGGAGGGUCAUUGGAAACUGGAGGACUUGAGUACAGAAGAGGAGAGUGGAAUUCCACGUGUAGCGGUGAAAUGCGUAGAUAUGUGGAGGAACACCAGUGGCGAAGGCGGCUCUCUGGUCUGUAACUGACGCUGAGGCGCGAAAGCGUGGGGAGCAAACAGGAUUAGAUACCCUGGUAGUCC
rnacentral:rRNA from 1 species